AUUGUGUCACAGCAGGAACUCCAGGAAAUUAACAGGUAGCAGGAAGAAGAUUACUGCUUUCCCCCCAAGCGGGAGGAAGGAAGACUUUCUUCUUGCCCAGUAACAGCCCAGACAAUAAGAGAUGUAACAAGUCAGCCAAUGAAAAGCCACUGAACUACCUCCCCCUUCUCCUCUAUAAAAGAAGGUUCCGCUCCUUUGUUCUCUCCUGGCUUGUGGCUUGCCUUAGGGUCCGUGUUCCAAAUUUUAAUUCUCAGCUGUUCCCAAAUACACCCAUUUUCCUGGUAAAAUACCUGGCUCUUUCAUCGUUUUAGGUCAACAAAGCUAUAUAUUAGCUUUGCUUGCUGACUGACACAACUCCCUUUUGACAUGAGCUAGUGCGAACGGAUUUCUGUUCCUGCAACUGGGAAAAAAAAAAAAAAAAACACAGCACAACCACACAUCCUCUUGUGAACCCAAGUCAUGAAUCAAACCUUGAGGAAAUAACAAAUAGCAGAAAAAUCUCA